rnacentral:rRNA from 1 species
AUACGUAGGUGGCAAGCGUUGUCCGGAAUUAUUGGGCGUAAAGCGCGCGCAGGCGGUCCUUUAAGUCUGAUGUGAAAGCCCACGGCUCAACCGUGGAGGGUCAUUGGAAACUGGAGGACUUGAGUGCAGAAGAGGAAAGUGGAAUUCCAAGUGUAGCGGUGAAAUGCGUAGAGAUUUGGAGGAACACCAGUGGCGAAGGCGACUUUCUGGUCGGUAACUGACACUGAGGCGCGAAAGCGUGGGGAGCAAACAGGAUUAGAUACCCUGGUAGUCCACGCCGUAAACGAUGAGUGCUAAGUGUUGGGGGGUUUCCGCCCCUCAGUGCUGCAGCUAACGCAUUAAGCACUCCGCCUGGGGAGUACGGUCGCAAGACUGAAACUCAAAUGAAUUGACGGGG